GAUGAACGCUGGCGGCGUGCCUAAUACAUGCAAGUCGAGCGAACAGGCGAGGAGCGUGCUACGUUGACGUAAGCGGCGGACAGGAGAGUAAUACGCGGGUAACCUACCUGUAAGAAGGGGAGAACUUCGGGAAAACGGAGCGAAUACCGGAUCAUAUUUCGAACCGGAUGGUUCGAUAGUGAAAGGUGGCUGUGCUAUCACUUAUAGAUGGACCUGCGCCGUAUUAGCUAGUUGGUAAGGUAACGGCUUACCAAGGCAACGAGACGUAGCCGACCUGAGAGGGUGAUGGGCGACAGGGGAACUGAGACACGGGACACAGUCCUGAGGGAGGCGGCAGUAGGGAAUCUGCCGCCAUGGGCGAAGGCCGGACGGAGGAACGCGGCGUGAGUGAUGAAGGAUUUCGGAUCUUAGAACUCUGUUAUUAGGGAAGAACGAACGUGUAAGUAACUGUGCACGUCUUGACGGUACCUAGUCAGAAAGCCACGGCUAACUACGUG
rnacentral:rRNA from 1 species